rnacentral:rRNA from 1 species
AGCAGACUGAAUCCUUCGGGAGGACGUCUGUGGAACGAGCGGCGGACGGGUGAGUAACACGUGGGCAACCUGCCUGUAAGACUGGGAUAACUCCGGGAAACCGGGGCUAAUACCGGAUAACUCAUCGGAUCGCAUGAUCCGAUGUUGAAAGAUGGCUUCUCGCUAUCACUUACAGAUGGGCCCGCGGCGCAUUAGCUAGUUGGUGAGGUAACGGCUCACCAAGGCCACGAUGCGUAGCCGACCUGAGAGGGUGAUCGGCCACACUGGGACUGAGACACGGCCCAGACUCCUACGGGAGGCAGCAGUAGGGAAUCAUCCGCAAUGGACGAAAGUCUGACGGUGCAACGCCGCGUGAGUGAGGAAGGCCUUCGGGUCGUAAAACUCUGUUGUUAGGGAAGAACAAGUUCCGUUCGAAUAGGGCGGAGCCUUGACGGUACCUAACCAGAAAGCCACGGCUAACUACGUGCCAGCAGCCGCGGUAAUACGUAGGUGGCAAGCGUUGUCCGGAAUUAUUGGGCGUAAAGCGCGCGCAGGCGGUUCCUUAAGUCUGAUGUGAAAGCCCACGGCUCAACCGUGGAGGGUCAUUGGAAACUGGGGAACUUGAAGACAGAAGAGGAGAGCGGAAUUCCACGUGUAGCGGUGAAAUGCGUAGAGAUGUGGAGGAACACCAGUGGCGAAGGCGGCUCUCUGGUCUGUGCUUGACGCUGAGGCGCGAAAGCGUGGGGAGCGAACAGGAUUAGAUACCCUGGUAGUCCACGCCGUAAACGAUGAGUGCUAGGUGUUAGGGGUUUCCACCCUUAGUGCUGCAGUAACGCAAUAAGCAC